GAUGAACGCUGGCGGCGUGCUUAACACAUGCAAGUCGAACGAAGCACCUCUCCCGAAGAUUGACACAGCUUGCUGUAGAUUGAUUCAUUUGAGGUGACUGAGUGGCGGACGGGUGAGUAACGCGUGGGUAACCUGCCUCAUAGAGGGGGACAACAGUUGGAAACGACUGCUAAUACCGCAUAGUAAGAAGACUUCGCAUGUUUUCUUCUUGAAAGAUUUAUCGCUAUGAGAUGGACCCGCGUCUGAUUAGCUAGUUGGUAAGGUAACGGCUUACCAAGGCGACGAUCAGUAGCCGGCUUGAGAGAGUGAACGGCCACAUUGGGACUGAGACACGGCCCAAACUCCUACGGGAGGCAGCAGUGGGGAAUAUUGCACAAUGGGGGAAACCCUGAUGCAGCGACGCCGCGUGAGUGAAGAAGUAUUUCGGUAUGUAAAGCUCUAUCAGCAGGGAAGAUAAUGACGGUACCUGACUAAGAAGCCCCGGCUAACUACGUG
rnacentral:rRNA from 1 species